rnacentral:rRNA from 1 species
GUGCCAGCAGCCGCGGUAAUACGAAGGGGGCUAGCGUUGUUCGGAAUUACUGGGCGUAAAGCGCGCGCAGGCGGUUCGAUAAGUUGGGGGUGAAAUCCCUGGGCUCAACCCAGGAAUGGCCUUCAAGACUGUCGAGCUAGAGGACGAGAGAGGUGAGUGGAAUUCCCAGUGUAGAGGUGAAAUUCGUAGAUAUUGGGAAGAACACCGGUGGCGAAGGCGGCUCACUGGCUCGUUUCUGACGCUGAGGCGCGAAGCGUGGGGAGCAAACAGGAUUAGAUACCCUGGUAGUCCACGCCCUAAACGAUGAGUGCCAGGUGUCGGGAAGCUUAGCUUCUCGGCGCCGCAGCUAACGCCUUAAGCACUCCGCCUGGGGAGUACGGCCGCAAGGUUAAA